rnacentral:rRNA from 1 species
GCCUGAUGCAGCGACGCCGCGUGAGGGAUGACGGCCUUCGGGUUGUAAACCUCUUUCGCCAGGGACGAAGCGCAAGUGACGGUACCUGGAGAAGAAGGACCGGCCAACUACGUGCCAGCAGCCGCGGUAAUACGUAGGGUCCGAGCGUUGUCCGGAAUUACUGGGCGUAAAGAGCUCGUAGGUGGUUUGUCGCGUUGUUCGUGAAAACUCACAGCUCAACUGUGGGCGUGCGGGCGAUACGGGCAGACUGGAGUACUGCAGGGGAGACUGGAAUUCCUGGUGUAGCGGUGGAAUGCGCAGAUAUCAGGAGGAACACCGGUGGCGAAGGCGGGUCUCUGGGCAGUAACUGACGCUGAGGAGCGAAAGCGUGGGGAGCGAACAGGAUUAGAUACCCUGGUAGUCCACGCCGUAAACGGUGGGUACUAGGUGUGGGUUUCCUUCCUUGGGAUCCGUGCCGUAGCUAACGCAUUAAGUACCCCGCCUGGGGAGUACGGCCGCAAGGCUAAAACUCAAAGAAAUUGACGGGGGCCCGCACAAGCGGCGGAGCAUGUGGAUUAAUUCGAUGCAACGCGAAGAACCUUACCUGGGUUUGACAUGCACAGGACGUGCCUAGAGAUAGGUAUUCCCUUGUGGCCUGUGUGCAGGUGGUGCAUGGCUGUCGUCAGCUCGUGUCGUGAGAUGUUGGGUUAAGUCCCGCAACGAGCGCAACCCUUAUCUUAUGUUGCCAGCGCGUAAUGGCGGGGACUCGUGAGAGACUGCCGGGGUCAACUCGGAGGAAGGUGGGGAUGACGUCAAGUCAUCAUGCCCCUUAUGUCCAGGGCUUCACACAUGCUACAAUGGCCGGUACAAAGGGCUGCGAUGCCGUGAGGUGGAGCGAAUCCUUUCAAAGCCGGUCUCAGUUCGGAUCGGGGUCUGCAACUCGA